rnacentral:lncRNA from 1 species
GUGAUAAAGUAAUUAUGCAAUCAGUAAUUAAUCACUUCUGGCCAACAAUGAGGGUAUUGUAUUUCUGGAAAAUAAUGCAUUCUGCUAAAAUGGCUGGAUAAUAACAAACUGAGCCUAACACAAACAUUAGGAUAAUAGAGAAGAGACAAUGAAAAUAAGUUGUACUCCUCUUUAAAAGCCAAGACAAAGUAAAUUAAUAGGCAAAAUGCAAAUUAGUUGGAUGCAAUAUCUGAAUGCACAAUAAAAUGGAACCUAGUUUACUAAAGAAGUUUCAGUUGGGUUUCUACAGGGAUGGUCUUCUUUGACCUUGUUUGCUAUUAAUUACUGAUUUUGCCAAACAAUUUAAUCACAUGAAUAUUUUGGAUAAUAAGAUACCAUAGGAUAAAUGAAAAUAAAACUAUGCAAAUUAAAUUAAAUUAAAUAUUAUUUAUAACAAAUUUUGUAGCAAAAUAAAGUACAAUUCCAUAUAUAAAACCAAUUGCCAUUUUCUACCUACUGGAAAGAGAUAAAUGCUUCAUUUAAUUCCUGCCUACCCCUUUUUAGAAACAGCCUGGAAAUAAAGAAAGUAUAUGAGAAUCCUACCUCUAACACUCAUUGACCUAUCUACAUUUCUUGUUGUACAAAUUACUAAGCACCUCAAAAUUUUAAAUGAUAUCCCUGAGUUUUCUUUUUGGAUAAGUUGUAAUCAUUUGUAGGUUUGAGCCUCAACAUGUAGGAGAAAUGGUAGACAGAUGUCAGGUAGGUUGUUAGUUAAUGGUAGGUAGGUAGAUAGAUUUAUUUUAUUCAUCUACUUCUCCCAUAAUUCCACCCAUCACAUACUUUCCUGUCUACCAUUGUUGCCUUAGUGUAAGUACUUAUAAUUGUAUUAAUUAGAAUAAGCAUGUUGUAUUUUAUGGAUAGUUUUCCUAUUUUCCACAAUUGUCUGAAUUAUUAGGAGCAAGGACAACUUCUUAAGCUUUUUUAUAUGCUGAACAUUAUGAUUUUAGUCACUUCUCAGAAGUAGUUAAGCAAUGUUACAAAGUAAUAACAAAAUUCAAAUUUUUUAGACUCUUUUCACUAAAGAGGUACUAUUUUCAAUACACUGAUCCAUUUGAUAUACAGCAUG